UACGUAGGGUGCAAGCGUUGUCCGGAAUUAUUGGGCGUAAAGAGCUCGUAGGCGGUUCGUCGCGUCGGCUGUGAAAUCCCGAGGCUCAACCUCGGGUCUGCAGUCGAUACGGGCGGACUGGAGUUCGGCAGGGGAGACUGGAAUUCCUGGUGUAGCGGUGAAAUGCGCAGAUAUCAGGAGGAACACCCGUGGCGAAGGCGGCCUGCUGGGCAGUAGCUGACACUGAGGCGCGACAGCGUGGGGAGCAACAGG
rnacentral:rRNA from 1 species